ensembl:ncRNA Y47G6A.36 ncRNA
UCUUCUUCUUCUUCUCCAAAUUCUGAUUAUUUUCACGGCUCUCAGCGGCUCGGCUCCAGUCAAAUGCACAUGCAACGUGGAUCCGGACACUGGCAUUGCGUCGACGAUUUGUGAAGGAU